GGACCAUUGUGAGUAUGAUGGCGGCUCUACUAGUCGGGCUUUAGCCGACUAAUGCAAUGAUUUCACCUAGGUCUCAUGUUCAACUUGGCGCUGCAGCUUUUGGCAAGCACGCUUAUGGUUGAGGGACCUACCCAUUGUUAGGAACGGGCCCACUCCUGACUUUAUUAGUCGGGUAUGAGUCGACUAGCGCUUCAUCGGGCAUGAGCUGAUGAG
rnacentral:lncRNA from 1 species